AGAACGUCCUCAAACUCAGACUGGUUCUUGUUUCUGUAGCUCAUGUUGACAAACACACCAGUUCUUCACUUCCAGCUUCCACUGACAAGCAGGGAUUUCCCAGCCGUACCGCAACACUUUGAAGAAGUCAUUUUUCAGAAGUUUAGAAACUUCAGAACAUCAAGUGGUGCAGCCAGGGGAACUGAGUGCUAUCACAAGAGCUGUUACUGCUGCAAGAUCCUGGGACUGGACAGAAGGCUGCAACAUCAAAGUGAUCUGAGUGGUUGUGACACGAAAUUUCCUUUCCUCCUCUGCCCCAGAGACUGUUUCUAUGAAGCACUGACUGCUCUGAAUUCAGGCAGGCUAUUCCAGAGAGAAGAGGAAACAGUGCAGUAGAAGGAGGUGGGCUCCUUGGAUUCUGAGCAGAGUGGAAGAGCUUCACAGAAAUCUGGAGGGAAGAUGCACAGCUUUCUAGUCUGCAGUGCUUUCAACUGCAUGUCUAAUUCCCUGCAGUCCUUCUGCGGUGUCCAUACAUUUAAAUGUACUGAAAGCGAGAUGUAACUUAAGAGCAUAUAACAAGUUUUAUUGCAGGCCCAAAUAUAAUCUAUAAUAAUAACUUUAAAUGUAAAUCAGUUUGUUUGGAUGUAUUUUUCAGUUGUUCUGUUCUUAGGAAAACAAAUAAGAAAACCCAUUAUCUUUAUCCUAAUGUCUAUGCAUACUAUGUCUUAGUAUGCAUGCUUUCUUUUGUUUGAACUUGUCACAGAGCAAAAUCUUUCUUAAAUGAUUCUUGCCAAAUAAACAUUGGCAUCUUCUCA
rnacentral:lncRNA from 1 species